rnacentral:rRNA from 1 species
UAUGUAGGGUGCAAGCGUUGUCCGGAAUUAUUGGGCGUAAAGAGCUUGUAGGCGGUUUGUCGCGUCUGCUGUGAAAUUUCGGGGCUCAACCCCGAACUUGCAGUGGGUACGGGCAGACUAGAGUGUGGUAGGGGAGACUGGAAUUCCUGGUGUAGCGGUGAAAUGCGCAGAUAUCAGGAGGAACACCGAUGGCGAAGGCAGGUCUCUGGGCCACUACUGACGCUGAGAAGCGAAAGCAUGGGGAGCGAACAGG